AACCCACUGCAGUAUGCUGAACUCGGCUUUGCAGCCCCAUGAAAGACAAACUCUUGGAAGCUGGGCAGAGGAGGCUGUCCCUGCUGAGUGGCUGUCUAACUUUGGCUUUGAUUUAAGCUGUGUUACAGUGAGAUUGGCAAAAGGCAGUCGGAGGACUGGAGAGGAGGCAAGGGGCAUGAGGAGAAAAGCACUGCGGCAGAGAGGUGUGACUUGCAUGGGAAAUCCUGUUCCACCCCAGGGAUACGGGCAGACAGAGUUUGUCAUUGCCAGGGAGAAAACGUGGCUGCGUGUGAACCACCAGGAGGACAGACGGACGCGUGCACGCCAGUGGCCGGACAGAAAUUUCAAGCAACAGUUCUUGGAAACCAUAUGGGGAUCAGCCUGGGAGUUCUGCAAGGUAAGAGACCCACGGCGAUGCCAGGAUGGCUCUGCUCCUGCUGAGCUUUGGAAUUAUCCUCUUGUAACAGUUUUCAGGUUAGCUUAGUUUGGUGAUACGUCCCUGUUGCUAAAGGUGUCUACACUUAUUGGACUACAGAAAAUAUUUACUUUUCUAAAGGGCAGCUUAACCUUUGUUUAAAUUUGAGGUGAGCAAAAGGUCAUUGUAAUUAUUUGCUGAAUUAUUUGUGUCACAUCUGAGUUACUAUGAAGGCUGAAUGUGCAUUGCCCUUUAUUAGGAAACUGCUUAACAAAUCCCAGUAAAAUCAUGUUUUGCAUCCAGCAAAUACUUUAUUGGGCUGCUGGUUGGCACAGAUUUCGACCUCUUGGGCUGUGACUCAGAGCACUGAAGCUGGCAUAAGACUUUCCCAGGGGUGGGGUAGAGAUGGGUGUGUUGACGAGGCAGCCAGACCCAGUUUUAAAUAUCUUGUAGAUGGGAAAUGUGGAAAUUUGGGUUCAAGCCUUCCUGAUAAAGAGCUGCAGAGUGGCAAAAUUGCAGCAUUGAUGCAAAACUUAAGGCAAAGAUGGCUCCAUGGGAAUGUUCUUCUGCUAACUGAAGAAGCAAUCCCAAGGCUUAUGUUCCCAUACCUUUCCCAAUGGGUACAACAAAUAACACAUCCUUUUUCAAGGUACGACUCUAUUUUGCAUCAGUAACAAACUGAUGCUGCUCUCUGGCAGAAAAGCAUGCAGAUGAGAUUGGGAUUAUUUUAGCUCCGUUCUGUGUGAAAUUUGAAAGGGAAGAAUAGGAGAUCCAAUUGGAUCAGAAAAGAAACUG
ensembl:lncRNA